rnacentral:rRNA from 1 species
UACGUAGGGGGCAAGCGUUAUCCGGAAUUACUGGGUGUAAAGGGUGCGUAGGCGGCAUGGUAAGCCAGAUGUGAAAGCCUUGGGCUUAACCCGAGGAUUGCAUUUGGAACUAUCAAGCUAGAGUACAGGAGAGGAAAGCGGAAUUCCUAGUGUAGCGGUGAAAUGCGUAGAUAUUAGGAAGAACACCAGUGGCGAAGGCGGCUUUCUGGACUGAAACUGACGCUGAGGCACGAAAGCGUGGGGAGCAAACAGG